rnacentral:rRNA from 1 species
AGAGUUUGAUCCUGGCUCAGGAUGAACGCUGGCGGCGUGCCUAAUACAUGCAAGUCGAACGCGCGGAUCAGGAGCUUGCUCCUGUGACGCGAGUGGCGGACGGGUGAGUAACACGUAGGCAACCUGCCCAUCAGACUGGGAUAACCACGGGAAACCGUGGCUAAUACCGGAUAAUCCUUUUCCACACAGGUGGGAAAGUUGAAAGGCGGUCUUUUGGCUGUCACUGAUGGAUGGGCCUGCGGCGCAUUAGCUGGUUGGUGGGGUAACGGCCCACCAAGGCGACGAUGCGUAGCCGACCUGAGAGGGUGAUCGGCCACACUGGGACUGAGACACGGCCCAGACUCCUACGGGAGGCAGCAGUAGGGAAUCUUCCGCAAUGGACGAAAGUCUGACGGAGCAACGCCGCGUGAGUGAAGAAGGGUUUCGGCUCGUAAAACUCUGUUGUCAGGGAAGAACGCCGACGGGAGUAACUGCCCGUCGGGUGACGGUACCUGACCAGAAAGCCACGGCUAACUACGUGCCAGCAGCCGCGGUAAUACGUAGGUGGCAAGCGUUAUCCGGAAUUAUUGGGCGUAAAGCGCGCGUAGGCGGUUCGUUAAGUCUGAUGUGAAAGCCCCCGGCUCAACCGGGGAGGGUCAUUGGAAACUGGCGGACUUGAGUGCAGAAGAGGAGAGUGGAAUUCCAUGUGUAGCGGUGAAAUGCGCAGAGAUAUGGAGGAACACCAGUGGCGAAGGCGGCUCUCUGGUCUGCAACUGACGCUGAGGUGCGAAAGCGUGGGGAUCAAACAGGAUUAGAUACCCUGGUAGUCCACGCCGUAAACGAU